rnacentral:rRNA from 1 species
AACGAACGCUGGCGGCAUGCCUAACACAUGCAAGUCGAACGAGACCUUCGGGUCUAGUGGCGCACGGGUGCGUAACGCGUGGGAACCUGCCCUUAGGUUCGGAAUAACUCCCCGAAAGGGGUGCUAAUACCGGAUAAUGUCUUCGGACCAAAGAUUUAUCGCCUUUGGAUGGGCCCGCGUUGGAUUAGCUAGUUGGUAGGGUAAAAGCCUACCAAGGCGACGAUCCAUAGCUGGUCUGAGAGGAUGAUCAGCCACACUGGGACUGAGACACGGCCCAGACUCCUACGGGAGGCAGCAGUGGGGAAUAUUGGACAAUGGGCGAAAGCCUGAUCCAGCAAUGCCGCGUGAGUGAUGAAGGCCUUAGGGUUGUAAAGCUCUUUUACCCGGGAUGAUAAGGACAGGACCGGGAGAAUAAGCUCCGGCUAACUCCGU